UUUUUAGGGUUCCGUAGCCAAAUGGCAAAAUACGGAACCCUUAUAGAUUCGUCAUGUCUGUCUGUCUGUCUGUCCGUCCGUAUAAUAAUUUUUUUCAUCAAAUCCAUACGUGUGGGGUAUCUAUGGAUAGGUCUUUAAAAAUGAUAUUGACGUUUCUAAUGUCAUUUUUUUGUAAACUGAAUACUUUGCGCGAGAGACACUUCCAAAGUGGUAAAAUGUGUCCCCCCCCCUGUAACUUCUAAAAUAAGAGAAUGAUAAAACUAAAAAAAAUAUAUGAUGUACAUUACCAUGCAAACUUCCACCGAAAAUUGGUUUGAACGAGAUCUAGUAAGUAGUUUUUUUUUAAUACGCCAUAAA